rnacentral:misc_RNA from 1 species
GUAGGUGAACCUGCGGAAGGAUCAUUACAAAUUCGACCCCUCAAUACACCUUUGACGUGCGUCAGCGCGGCAAAGGUGUAUUGACGGGGGAGCAUCGGUUUGGAAUUGCGUGCGUGUCUAACCACAUACACACAAAACCACCGAUACAUACGUGCGUUUUGGAACUAUGUAUACGUGAUUAAAUACCACGCAUACAGAAAUCCAACAACAAACACAAUCACGCUUUUUACGUCUGACUGUAAUUUACAAACCAAAAGAUACAACUUUAAACAACGAAUCUCUUGGCUCUU